GAGACAGGGGUCUCACUUUGUUGACCAGGCUGGUCUCAAACUCCUAGGCUCAAUCCUUCCACCUGGGCAUUCCAAAGUGCCAGGAUUACAGGCAUAAACUACCAUGCCCAGCUUUAAUAUAUUCAUAUUUAAACAAAUAUAUGAAGACUGUUCCACGUUCAAGUGCUGUAGUACACAAGGCGUGGAUCACACAGCUGGUAAAUAUUGGCGAUUCUAAAAUUUAUAUGGAAAUGAAAAUAACCAAGAAUAACCAAGAUAAUCUUGAAGA
rnacentral:lncRNA from 1 species